AAUAUAAAUUGUAGGCCAGGGACAGUAGUCCAUGCCUGUAUUCCCAACACUUUGGGAGGCAGAGGUGGGAGGAUUGCUUGAGCCCAGGAAUU